UGCAGUCGAACGAGAUCUUCGGAUCUAGUGGCGGACGGGUUAGUAACGCGUGGGAACGUACCCUUCACUACGGAAUAGUCCCGGGAAACUGGGUUUAAUACCGUAUACGCCCUUCGGGGGAAAGAAUUUCGGUGAGGGAUCGGCCCGCGUUAGAUUAGUUAGUUGGUGGGGUAAUGGCCUACCAAGACUACGAUCUAUAGCUGGUUUGAGAGGAUGAUCAGCAACACUGGGACUGAGACACGGCCCAGACUCCUACGGGAGGCAGCAGUGGGGAAUCUUAGACAAUGGGGGCAACCCUGAUCUAGCGAUGCCGCGUGAGUGAUGAAGGCCUUAGGGUCGUAAAGCUCUUUCGCCUGUGAUGAUAAUGACAGUAGCAGGUAAAGAAACCCCGGCUAACUCCGUGCCAGCAGCCGCGGUAAUACGGAGGGGGUUAGCGUUGUUCGGAAUUACUGGGCGUAAAGCGCACGUAGGCGGAUUAGUCAGUCAGAGGUGAAAUCCCAGGGCUCAACCCUGGAACUGCCUUUGAUACUGCUAGUCUUGAGUUCGAGAGAGGUAAGUGGAAUUCCGAGUGUAGAGGUGAAAUUCGUAGAUAUUCGGAGGAACACCAGUGGCGAAGGCGGCUUACUGGCUCGAUACUGACGCUGAGGUGCGAAAGUGUGGGGAGCAAACAGGAUUAGAUACCCUGGUAGUCCACACCGUAAACGAUGAAUGCCAGUCGUCGGGUAGCAUGCUAUUCGGUGACACACCUAACGGAUUAAGCAUUCCGCCUGGGGAGUACGGUCGCAAGAUUAAAACUCAAAGGAAUUGAC
rnacentral:rRNA from 1 species